ACAGUCAACGUUCGGAGUCCUGGAGGCUGCAGGGCCCGCAGACUCACCCGAUGGAGCUCUGUCUGGAACCCAGGGUUAGGCUCCGCUGGGGGGGGCCUCCCUCGCCUGCCGUUCUGUCCUGAGACGUUUCCCAUCUCCCGUGGUCCUGAUACCCCAGGGCUACCCCCGAGACGCCUGGAGCCCUUAAGGAAGUCGGGGUCAGAAGGACAGAAAUGCUGGAAGAACUCUGGGCUUCACCAUGCUGGCUUCAGGGGGUCCCGGGCCACACACAGUGGACUGCACAAGUCCGGGGCUCCUCUCUGCCGGGUGAGGGGGCUUGGACGCCCCUGAGACGGAGGGAAAACAGGGAAGGCAUUUUCAAGGUGUGAAAGGUCAGCUCGGCCUGGAGUUUUCAGUAGGGACCCUGGAGAGAAGAGAGAGGCCAUCUCCACGUCACACGUCUGGGGAACACACCGUGGCCCCCCGCUUCCCCCUACUCCUCCACUGAGAGGUCCAAGCCCCAGAGGGGUGGUGUCCCCCAUGCUCCCUGUGGACGCUGUAAUUUAUCCUCGACGAGGAGCUGGACGCAGUGUCGGCGUGUGCAUGGAACACCACAGGUCACGUCACAAAGCAUGACCCCCCAGAAAUGUGGCCAAGGGCAACGAGUCCGAGAUUACCUUCCGCCAAGCAAACUGACUUAACCCCUCGCCUAAAAUAACGUCAUGUGUAUGAUUUCAGUUUAUUCUCAAAAUCAUCAACGUAUUGCUAUUUUCAGUAACUGGUGUUGCAUUUUACUGACCACUGUCUCUCUCACAUGGCAGAAAUCUCACCGAAGUAGUAAAAUGAAAUCUGAACCUCCAUCUUUUGAACAAAACAGCUUUAUUGCUUUGAGGGCGUGGUGGAGAAGUUUAGGGGAGAUAGAUUUCGGGCAGGUAAACUCCCUCGGGGUUUUUCAUGAAGACCCGAAAAUGGUUUAUCAUCAGCUUAUCAGUUACUCUAUUGAAAUGGAAGAUUUUUAUGGUUCUGGAAAAGCCUGUUUCUUCUCCACUGCAGUGCUACCUGGUUUUACACCUCCUUUGUUCAGUUGACUCUGACCUCAUCACUUCUACCAAAGUACACAUCAACCCGGAUCCUGCAAAAUCUUACACAUUUCAAAUGGGACGCCUGGGUGGCUCAGUUGGUUAAGCAGCUGCCUUCGGCUCAGGUCAUGAUCCCAGCGUCCUGGGAUUGAGUCCCACAUCGGGCUCCUGGCUCCGCAGGGAGCCUGCUUCUCCCUCUGACUCUGCCUGCCACUCUGUCUGCCUGUGCUCGCUCUUGCUCUCUCUCUGACAAAUAAAUAAAUAAAAUCUUAAA